rnacentral:rRNA from 1 species
GCACCCGCGGUAAUUCCAGCUCCAAUAGCGUAUAUUAAAGUUGUUGCAGUUAAAAAGCUCGUAGUUGGAUUUCUGCGAGGGUGCCAAUGUCCGCCGACGCGCGUGCGCAGCGGCGCCCUCGCAUCCUUCUGUUACCACCUCUCGGCAUUCACUUGCCGGUGGUCGGCUCAGAGAAUUUACCUUGAGAAAAUUAGAGUGUUUCAGGCAGGCUAGGCCGGAAUACAUUAGCAUGGAAUAAUGGAAUAGGACUACGGUCUCGUUGUUGGUUUGAGGGACUGCAGUAAUGAUUAAUAGGGAUAGUUGGGGGCAUUAGUAUUUAACUGUCAGAGGUGAAAUUCUCAGAUUUGUUAAAGACUAACUUAUGCGAAAGCAUUUGCCAAGGAUGUUUUCAUCAAUCAAGAACGAAAGU